ACCCCUAUCAUAUAGUGGUUCAGGACAUCUCUCUUUCAAGGAGGCAGCGGGGAUUCGACUUCCCCUGGGGGUA
rnacentral:tRNA from 1 species